GGGCGAGACCGAAGCGAACAGCGGUUGUGUUUAAAGGCACCUGAAUUGUAUACCGAAGACUGUGCACGGGUGAGGGGAAGGUCAAGCCUGCCGAUAGCCCUCUCCGAGUUCGUGCACCGAGUCGUCGGAAAGGUCGGGCAAAACGUGAGCGAGCAGCGGUGGCCCUGGAAGCGCCAUACAAGUGCCCUUGUCAAGGAAGAUAACCAGCUGUCAGGCUUUGCGGUAAAGGCAGUCGAAGCGGAUCAGCAUGCCCUUGGCAAGACGGAAGCUGACAGCGGCCAGUCCUCCAGGAACAAGAAGCCAGUUGCAGUGGAUCGGCGAGACCGGGCAGGAUGGGAGCGAACAGCGGCAUCACCCAAAAGCAUGAGAUCGUGGAGAGUACCGCCUUCCGUCGACCUUCCGCGAGGGUGAAUACCGUUGCGGGUGGUAGACGCGGUCCGUGCGAGAGCGAAGCGAACAGCGGUUCUGUCUGAAGGCUCCACGAAGA
rnacentral:lncRNA from 1 species